CUGAAGAGGAAGCUCACUGAGGCGAUACCUGGACGCUGAAGAAAACACCGCAGCUUUUCAGGGCUGCUUUCUUGAGAAUCUGGGUUUGGCUGUGUCUCAAUCAAAAGCCCGCAGGACAGUUUCUGUCCACAGGGGAGCCACACCACUUGGGACUCAGGAGCUGGUUUACUCUUCUGCCUGAAACGAUUAAACAAAACAGCAACAGCGCCACACAAGAUGCACGAAAUGGAGAUUUCCAAGAUCCUGGGCAUCAGGCAAAGGGGACAGCCAUCCCGGACACAGGAGCCUGAGCUGAGUCCACACUGAAAACAGAGAACGGAGGGAGCAGAUGGAAGACAGAAAAUCAGCAGGUUUGAAGGAUGAGAAUAACCCAAGGAAGGACAAGGCAAUGGUGUUGAAGGAGGUUGCCAAAGGAAGUAAGAAUAAGGAGAAGUUCAGUUCGGAAAAAUCGGGAAACUGAGGAAUGCAUACAGCAGCAUCCAACUGUGCAAGGAGCAGCCGGAGCUGAGCACGGAGAACUAGGGGAGUAACUUCGUCCACGGUGAACCUGUGCACCUGCUGAGGAGCCCCGCCAGAUGGAUCGGUGUUGGUUUGUACUGUUGGGAAACACCAAUUCCAAGAGGAGGAGGAGGGGCACCUGCCUGGGUGGCUUAGUCGUUAAGCAUCUGCCUUCGGAUCAGGUCAUGAUCUUAAGAGUCCUGGGAUCGAGCCCCGCAUCGGGUUCCCUGCUCGGCGGGAAGCCUGCUUCUCCCUCUCCCACUCCCCCUGCUUGUGUUCCCUCUCUCGCUAUGUCUCUCUCUGUCAAAUAAAUAAAUAAAAUCUAAAAAAAAAAAAAAAAAGGAGGAGGAGGAUGUGACCAUGAGGCUCUGCCCCAGACCCCUAGCUUUGACCUUGGAGCUGCUCUCACCGUGGAUGUCCUCCAAGUAAGUGUGGGCUUAGAGGGUUCAGUGAUAUUUGGAUAAGUGUUGGAGAUGUCCAUUCUUACUGCAACUAGUUCUGCCCUAAGGUCAGGAAGGGCCAGGGUAGGAGACCCUUGCCUCUGAGGCAGUGAUACCAAUAAUAUUCUUCUCAAUUUAUGGUAUCAAAAGUCUUUACACAUAAUAUGUCUUGACUGUGUGUUGAGUGUUUCAUUUUCCUUAGUGUGUGUUAAGAAGUUGGAAUUCUGACAUCAAUAAGAUUUCACUGAGGAGGUCAAAGCAGUGAGAGGAAGAAUGCAAACAAAACCUUGUAGCUCAGCACACCUGGAUGGCUCAGUUCAUUGAGAGUCUGCCUUCAGCUCAGGUCAUGAUCCCAGGCUCCAGGGAUCAAACCCCAUGGGCAGGGCGGGGGGGCUUCCUGC